GAGAGGAAGAGCUCAAGUUGGAACUGUUUGGCUUAGCUAAACCGUAUUGUAAACUGUAAAAACAUUUUCCUGGCACGCCGGAUUAAAAAUUCCUUUGGAACAAGGCUUCAUGGAGGGGGAAAAUCCCGUCUUUGAUCCGAGUAGUUGUCUUUUGUGAUAUGUUUUCAAAGAGUCGAGUUGUUUGGGAAU
rnacentral:rRNA from 1 species